CAGAAGUGCGAAUGCUGACAUAAGUAACGAUAAAGCGGGUGAAAAGCCCGCUCGCCGGAAGACCAAGGGUUCCUGUCCAACGUUAAUCGGGGCAGGGUGAGUCGACCCCUAAGGCGAGGCCGAAAGGCGUAGUCGAUGGGAAACGGGUUAAUAUUCCCGUACUUGGUGUUACUGCGAAGGGGGGACGGAGAAGGCUAUGUUGGCCGGGCGACGGUUGUCCCGGUUUAAGCGUGUAGGUGUGUGUUCCAGGUAAAUCCGGUUCACUUUAACACUGAGGCGUGACGACGAGGCACUACGGUGCUGAAGCAACAAAUGCCCUGCUUCCAGGAAAAGCCUCUAAGCAUCAGGUAACAUCAAAUCGUACCCCAAACCGACACAGGUGGUCAGGUAGAGAAUACCAAGGCGCUUGAGAGAACUCGGGUGAAGGAACUAGGCAAAAUGGUGCCGUAA
rnacentral:rRNA from 1 species